GGGGGGGGCAAGCGUUGUUCGGAAUUACUGGGCGUAAAGGGCUCGUAGGCGGCCAACUAAGUCAGACGUGAAAUCCCUCGGCUUAACCGGGGAACUGCGUCUGAUACUGGAUGGCUCGAGUUUGGGAGAGGGAUGCGGAAUUCCAGGUGUAGCGGUGAAAUGCGUAGAUAUCUGGAGGAACACCGGUGGCGAAGGCGGCAUCCUGGACCAACACUGACGCUGAGUGAGCGAAAGCCAGGGGAGCAAACGGGAUUAGAUACCCCGGUAGUCCUGGCCCUAAACGAUGAAUGCUUGGUGUGGCGGGUAUCGAUCCCUGCCGUGCCGAAGCUAACGCAUUAAGCAUUCCGCCUGGGGAGUACGGUCGCAAGGCUG
rnacentral:rRNA from 1 species